UCUGAAAAAUUUGAGAGAGAAUCGGCAGGAGAGAAGGGAGAAAGAAGAAGAAGAGAAAAGAGGGGAAAAUAAGGGAAAAAAGGAAAGGAGUUGGAGGAAAUAAGUAAAAAGGGAUAAUCCUGAUAUUCCACCGGCGGGACGUUAGUAGGAUUUCCUUCGAUAUCAGCUUUGAGUUUUGUUGCUUUCAAGUCAGAGAGGUCGAGCUUUUGAAGAUGAUGCAGGGAGAAAAAGGGUGUUCUUGGAAUGGAGGGUGCCAUAAGGAAUGCUGCAAGAGAGGUCCAGUCCAGUGAGAUGCCCGGUUUUCAUGUCACAAGUGACCCCAUCCCACGAGCAGCAUUCUGUACUAUCUAUCCAUGACUCUGUUUUUGGAAAAGGAUAUUGACAGUACUCCAAUGAGGCAUAUCUAUUAAUGGAGAAGGAUUGUUUGAAUUGAUGGAGAGAAAGAGAAUGGUGAUGAGCACACAAAUGAAAAGAAGAGGAGGAGGAGGAGGAGUGAUUUGAGGAGAGUGGAGAUGAAAUUGUUGAAUGGAAAUGGAAGAGAAACAGAAUGAAAGAGAGAGAUUGAGAGAGGCACAGUUGUGAAAACCUAUGAAUGUUGGCUUCAAGUAUAAUUGGGAGAGAUGAGAAAUAAAGAAGGGCAUUAUUAGUAGUAUUUAAUUAUUAGUAGUGUUAUCUUCAACACUAUGAAUCUGCCACUUUAGUGUUGUUCCAAUGUCAACUCCAAUCUUCAACACUAUGAAAGGCACAGCCUUUAUUGAAAUAAUACUGCAAUAAAAACAAUAUAUAUCUGUAGUUAUGAUUACUUAUAAAAUCUGAAAGGAAACAGCUUACAGAA